UAACCUCAAAUCGGGUAAGAUUACCCGCUGAACUUAAGCAUAUCAAUAAGCGGAGGA
rnacentral:rRNA from 1 species